AGGGAGAACGCAAAAUAAAUUCUUAUAACUCGUCCGUAAGGCCAAGUACAUGGAAAGCAGUGUGGCCAACCACAGCGGUAGUAGACUUCAUUGGGAUUGAGCUCAAUACACGACUAAAUAUAAUAUCUAACAUUAAUAAUCGAAAAUAUAAGACCAUAAUGGAGUAAUUAUUGGAGAAAUCUUGUUAAUUUAAUAGACAAUUUCGAAAAACAAGAAUUUGAAUUGUUAAACAACGUGCCAUUUAAAGUAAAAUAUGAGGAUUUUUCAUAUUUAAAUAUUAAUAGUGAUUUUCAUUUAUUUCCAAAAUUAAGGUAACAGGGAAAGUCAAAAAUUAUUGGAGCAAUAGAAAAAAAAACGCACUCUGCGAAUUAUGUAAAAUGUAACUAAAAUGUGCACAUUUUUUUACAAAUUCAAUACAUUAAGAAGUAAUUCAUUGGGAUUUAGAAUAGUGCCAUAGUGAAACAGCUGCAUACUCGUCCAUAAUGGUCCGUUUGUAAUGUUUCAAACAUUUAUUCAAUUGGGGAAUAAAAUCUAAUCCAAAAAGUGGAAUUAACAAAUAUUAACUAGUGUCAUCUAAAGUCGACAGGUAAAAAUUGAAAUACCUAUACAAAGUUACAUCCAUGCGAAAUCGUAGGACAUACUAGCUUAAAUUUACCUGAAUAUUUAAAAAGUGGGGGAUAUAAAAACCUCUUCCAAUAAUCAGGUCAGAAGCCAUAAAACGAUGGUAUGGUUUACCUACUGACAAUAAUACUCGAGAUUGAAAUAGGUCAUGGACGUCGAAAAUGAUAGCAUUAUAGCAGACUACUAUAGGUUAUGAAAGUAAUAGGUACGCACAUUUUAUGUGCGAUGAUUGCCUCCAUAGCCUCCCCAGGGACACGCCUGAUUCUAAAACGAAAAUUAAUCCGAUUGUCAAACGGUUCCUUUAGAAAAAAGAAAUUUUAUCUGCAAGCAGGAGAGAUAUAUUGAGAAAUAGAUAAGUGAAUUACAAAUAUACUGGUCUUAAAAAUAAACUCAAAAAUAGAUCCAAUACUUUGUUAUUGUUAUAUGUUCAUCAACGAUCAUCAUAUUUCGCGUAUGUUAGCAGAUUUGUAUACAAAAAUGCAAAACAGGAAGGCAUUAAUAUUUUUCGUGAUAAAAUCAAUCAAUAACGCCCAUUUAUCGUCAAACAAUAAAACAUUCUCAAUUUGAAAAUUUCUUAGGAUUUAUCAACGUAUAUUAGA